rnacentral:rRNA from 1 species
AUACGGAGGGUCCGAGCGUUAUCCGGAAUCAUUGGGUUUAAAGGGUCCGUAGGCGGGAAUCUAAGUCAGUGGUGAAAUCUUGCAGCUCAACUGUAAAAUUGCCAUUGAUACUGGAUUUCUUGAAUUAGUGUGAAGUGAUUAGAAUGUGUAGUGUAGCGGUGAAAUGCAUAGAUAUUACACAGAAUACCAAUUGCGAAGGCAGAUCACUAACACUAUAUUGACGCUGAGGGACGAAAGCGUGGGGAGCGAACAGGAUUAGAAACCCCGGUAGUCC